AAAAACGGUGCAGGAGUCGAAGCUAUAGUUGGGUCUGUGGUUGCUGCAUUAGCUGUUGGAAGUCUUAUUGGUGUGAUUUGUACAAUGUUUUUUCUUACUAGAAAAGGACUCUUAAAAAGUAACGGUUGGAAGAAGCAAAAACCACCUCAGCCAACAGUGUUUUCUGAAACAGAAUUUAUUGAACCGGCAUCAACACUCCAAACUCAGUAUGAUGGUCUGGACCAGGGAGCAGAGAAAUGUCAUACUUAUACAGACCUUAAGCAUAGUUGAUAAAUCGUAUCUUAGAUUUAGAAUAUCAGUCUUGGACGUUAAGAUUAUAGCCUGUUGGCAAACACUUACUUUACAGAGCGAUUGAUUUUGUGGGUUGGGUUGUCUUUUUUGUAUGAAUGAUUGUUUAUUGUUAUUGUUUUGUUCUUGUUGUUGUAUUUUUCUUGGUCUGUUUUUUUUUAUUUUUACUGUGGUCAGUCUUAAGUAAAAUACUUGUUUUGCAAAAAAUAUUGAAGUCUUGAAAAUUUUUACUAACUUAAGAUAUGUCAUUUUUGAAAAGGAGAAUGCACAAAGUUUGUUUUGAAGCUACAUUCCCUACUACUGGUUAAGUUAACUUGGUCCGUUCUUUAAAUAACUACCAGUUUUAUAUGACACUGCAUUCAAUCGUGUUUACCUAUUGUGUUGUACAGAGUUUACAUCAUUUAAUACCUUCACUGAUUUUACUAAAAACUGUUGUGUUUUUAUCCAGAUUCUGAUAAAUUUGGUCGAACAUUGCCAAGUAAAUGAAAAGAAAUUUCAUCGCUGAUUGUAUAGUUUCUUUAGUCAUAAAUACAUAAAAGCACUCGCUCACAUUUGUAAAAAUAACAUUGCACGAUUUGUUGUCAUUGUUAAAUAACAAACAUAAAGUGUACACACGAGAUAACCUCAGAGGGGUGACUCGCCCAUUCUUCAAACGACUCAUUGAUGUUUACAAACAUGUAGACCCUGCUAUUUAAUCCGAAACAUUAAAGAAAGUGCCAAAACUAAGAUGACUUUGACGCAUUGUUCUAUUACUUUAUAUUUAAAUUUCAAGUGAAGAAACGAUUACACUUGUUUAAUUGUUGUUCAGGCAGAUACGUAUUUUUGUAUGAUAAUUAGUGUCAGUUAUUGGCAUUACAAAUCGUUAGUGCAUUUUUGUUCUCUGUUACAUUCAUGUAAGGUUUCAUGUUUGAAGGAUUUUACAUGUUUAAACAUAAUGCCAAACGUUUGAAAAUGGAUAAAACAAUAUGAUGAGGAUGAAUCAGAUUACUCGAUCUAUAUAUAAAAUUAGAUUUAGUUACAUACAAGCACAUAAGGAUAGCAUAGUAUAUCGUUUUGAACAGAAAUAAAUUCAAUAAUCAAGCUGCUGGUUUGGUAAGCUUG